GUCUAUGGCCAACCACCCUGCACGUGCCCGAUCUCGUCUGAUCUUGGAAGCUAAGUAAGCUAAGCAGGGUCAGGCCUGGUUAGUACUUGGAUGGGAGAAAGUACGUUCAACAACUCUGAGCUCUAAAAG
rnacentral:rRNA from 1 species